rnacentral:pre_miRNA from 1 species
AAUAAGUUCAGUUAGAUGCCAUCUUCGACUCUUCGUCUUAUUUGAAUUCUUUUGCGAUUAAUAUUUUAUUUUUAUUAGAUGAUAAAACAUGAAUAUUAUUUUAUGCAUGACUAUUUUUUAAGUUUUUUAAUAAUUUUUUAAAAUAAGACAAAUGGUCAAAUGCUGGACACAAAAACUAAUAAAUGAAGUUUUU